AGGAGAUGAACAAGAAAAAGAGGAACAGUAAGAGAAACAGAUAGGAGAGGAACAAGAAAAAGAGGAACAGAUAGGAGAGGAACAAGAAAAAGAGGAACAGAUAGGAGUGGAACAGGAAAGAGAGGAACAAGAAAAAGAUGAACAAGAAAAAGAGGAACAGGUAAGAGGAACAGAUAGGAGAGGAACGAGAAAAAGAGGAACAGAUAGGAGUGGAACAAGAAAAAGAGGAACAGGUAAGAGGAACAGACAGGAGAGAAACAAGAAAAAGAGGAAGAUAGGAGAUGAACAAGAAAAAGAGGAACAGGUAUGAGGAACAGAUACCGUUUUCUAUGCAAGCGAGCUAGUAAGUGAGGUUUCUCUCUCUCUCUCAAUAGUCACAAAGUAUUUUUAAACUACAUUAGUAGAAGUGGCGGACAAAUACCGCCACCUGUUUUAGGGUGGUUAGUGAUGGUAGUGAAAAGGCAUAUACAUACAUUUGUUUUGGUGGCAGCGGCGACAGAAGCGGCCAUUGGGAGGUGAGCAGUCUUGCCAACGAUCCGACGCUUGGUUAGCUAUUAGCCCACGCAUGCAGGUCCACCAUGCAUGGAUAUUAUUUUUUAGAACAUGCACCUUUACCUAAUACUAUACCCCACCCUCAGCACAGCAGCCGUUGGGCUGGGUGUUCUAAAAAAAAAAUAAUAACCACGCAUGGUGGACCUGGUCUCACAUGCAUGGGCUAAUCGCUAACCUAGCGUACCAUUGCUAACCAAGUGUACCAUCGCUAACCGGAUCGUUGGCAACACUGCUUACCUCCCAAUGGCCGCCGCGGUUAAAUUCUAGUGUUUGCCCAUACUCCCCCCUCCCCCCUAUACAAGCCUGGGGACCUGGUGGGAAUGCAGGGUUUCGGGUGGGGGACACGAAAUCCGUCGCAUUCGCGUAUUUUUUUAGUGGGGGGGAUAAAAACUCCCUAGAUCUAGGGAAAUUCCCUAAAUUUAGGGAAUUUUUCCUCACAUCACUACUAAAAUAAGCGUUUGCAACGAAUUUAGUGUUUCCCAUACGAAAACCACGCACUCACUGGAUCCCCAAGCUUGUUUUGGGAGAGAAGCGUAGUGAACCCACCAAACGAUGCUCACCUCACCAUCUGGCGUGGCACUGGCGGCCAUCUGUGCUCACAUAAACCGCCUCCACCACACUCAUGCCCUCUCACUAGUAGGUUGUCACCUCAUCGCAAGGUUUCUGUCCUCCAAGUAGAGUCCGUGGCACCAAACACAGUGUAUCUUCAUUGUUUAUCACUGACACAAAUAAAACCACCGGCUAGCCGGGAUCCAUCCAACACCGCGCCUUUAACACUACUGCAGGAAGUGCAGGCUCUCGAACCUCUUGCCCGAGCUGUUCGAACACGUGAAUCCUUACUGACCGGAUUCUGAAUCUGCUUCACGGGCUCGUAUUCACAGUAUACAAGGUGAUUGUGGAUAUUGACUCCGCACCUCCAGAAUACGAUAAUACGCCUCAAUAUAUCAUAGUAAAAAAAAAAAAUAAGUACUUAAAAGUAAAGAUGCCGAAUUAAUCCCCUUCCCGAUCUUGGGGGACCUGCGUGAACUCGGGGUAUUUGGGUGGGGGAGCAUAUUUAAACUACUCCAACCGAACUUUACGACCUGCUAACAUGGGGGCUUCGCCCCCCUCGACCCCCCUCCUAACCAAGGGGGGGGCUGCGCCCCCCCUGGACCCCCCCCUCUUAAAGGUGCGUGUUCUAAAAAAAAAGUAACCACGCGUGGUGGACCUGGUCUCACAUGCGUGGGAUAAUGGCUAACUAAGCGUACCAUCGCUAACCAAGCAUACCAUCGGUAAUAGUAUUAGGUAAAGGUGCGUGUUCUAAAAAAAAAAUAACCACGCGUGGUGGACCUGGUUUCACAUGCGUGGGUUAAUGGCUAACUAAGCGUACCAUCGCUAACCGAGAGUACCAUUGGAAAUAGUAUUAGGUAAAGGUGCGUGUUCCAAAAAAAUAAUAAUAAUAAAUAAGCACGCGUGGUGGACCUGGUCUCACCUAGCAUAUCAUUGCUAACCGGAUCGUUGGCAACGCUGCUCAUAUUGCAAUGGCGUCGCCAUGUAAACACAUCGUCCGUAUGUAUAAUACGCCCUAAAGUACAAUAUGGAGGUGUAAUAUCGUAUUUUCGAGGUGCGGAGUGAUUUUCAAUAAUUACCUUGCGUGGUUUGCGUACGUUGUAAAAAAAACCGGAAUGUAUGAAAUUUCCCUACAUCUAAGUAAUUGUAAGGAAUUUCCCUACAUCUAUGGUAUUUUUCAACCCCUCAUAACUCAAAAACUACGCAUUUACGACGCAUUUCAUGUUUAUCACCGCAUUCCCCGAAGUCUCAAUGGCCCCCUAGUCAAUUUUGGUUGCGAGGGGUGAGUAUGGGCAAACACUAGAAUAAUACUGCCGCCGCCGCCACCAAAACAAAUGUAUGUAUGUGCCCUUUCAUUCGACCCCCCCCACCCAUUGAACAUAUGUUCUAGACCAUUUCCGAUGCUCAACAGAUUAAUUUGAAUACACCGAGGUAUAAACAAUAUAGAAUUUAUGUCCCUUGAGCUUUACAGACCACACCUACUAAUCCUACAUAUUAACCAAAGAAAAAGAGGAACAGAUAAGAGGAACAAGAAAAAGAGGAACAGGGAAGAGGAAAAGAUAGGAGAGGAAGAAGAAAAAGAGUAACAGAUAGGAGAUGAAGAUGAAAAAGAGGAACAGGUAAGAGGAACAGGAAGGAGAGGAAGAAGAAAAAGAGGAAGAUAGGAGAGGAAGAAGAAAAAGAGGGACAGAUAGGAGAGGAAGAAGAAAUAGAGGAGCAGGAGAGGAAGAAGAAAAAGAGGAUCAGGUAAGAGGAACAGGAAAGAGUAAGAAGAGAAAGAGGAUCAGGUAAGAGGAACAGGAAAGAGUAAGAAGAGAAAGAGGAUCAGGUAAGAGGAACAGGAAAGAGUAAGAAGAGAAAGAGGAGCAGGUAAGAGGAGCACACGCUGGGCCUCCCCUUCCUGGCGUACCUUCAUGGGCGCGUUGAGGUAGACCCGCUCCGCCGCCUUCUCGAAGUCGUCAAAGGAGUCCAGGUAGACCAUGGUGGACGGAGGGCGCGGCACACACGCAUGCACACCUGCUUCCCACGGCCACACCUGCUGCACACCUGACUGCCGCCUCCUGCCAGCUCUAAA